GUGCUUGCUUCGGCACCACAUAUACUAAAAUUGGAACGAUACAGAGAAGAUUAGCAUGGCUCUUGCGCAAGGAUGACACGCAAAUUCGUGUAGAUGGAAUUAAACUU
rnacentral:snRNA from 1 species